GUACAAGAUCAUAUAAAACCAUAACAAUCCUUUUCCUUUACUACUCUUUAUCUUAUUCAACUUUUCAUCUUAUAUCUAGAUUAAAAACUUUUUUUAAAAAAACAGCAAAACGCUCAUUCACGAUAGAGAACAAAAUUAUUCUCUAUCCUUUUCUUCAUCCACGACAGAGUAAAAAAAUUAUUUUUUGUCCAAAAUAAAAAAAAAAGUUGAUCAUCUUUAAUGUUUCCCAACAAAGAAUGAAACUAAAGACACUUCAUUGUUAGAAUAUCAAGUUGAAGAAUGAAGAAAUGAUAUAUUCACCGGUUCUCCCUAAAUUCGCGGCUAGGAUUUUAUACUUUUCUUCGUGGCUGGGUUUCAAAGUGAAUAUUCAUGCUUGUAGCUAAGGUUUCGUAGCUUUCUUCGGGGCUGAGUUUCAAAGUGGAUAUUCAUGGUUGUAGUUACUUUCGCUUCCACGGAGGAAGCAAUUACCAUCCUAAAAUGGAAAGCAACUUUCAAGAACCAGAUUAAUUCCUUAUUGGCUUCAUGGACUCAGAGUUCAAAUACAUGUGGGGAUUGGUAUGGAGUUAUGUGUUUAAUGGUAGGGUAAGCAAGGUGAAGGUGCUCAUGUCAUUGGUACACUCUAUGAUUUUCCAUUUUCGACUCUCUCUUUUCUUGAAUAUGUUGAUCUUAGUGUGAAUAAUCUCUCUUGAACUAUUCCACCUGAAAUUAGUAAUCUCACUAAUCUUGUCUAUCUAGACUUGCACACCAAUAUGAUUUCAGGCACAAUUCCAUUACAAAUCGGCUCACUAGCAAAGCUCCAGAACGUUAACAUCUAUGACAACCUUUUAAAUGGUUCCGUUCCUAGCUCAUUGAGUGCUCGGAGGAACAUUUGGUUGAAUACUCAUGAGAAAUGUAAUGUCAUGAACUUUAAUUAUAUAUCAAACUAGGGAACAUGUCCGCUCUUCGCGCGCGGAUUAAUUAAUAUGUGGUAGGAAAUUUUUUCUUGUCGAUGUAUUAUAUGAUUAUAUUAUUUAAGCAUAUCAUUUUGUUUUCAUUUGAAAUGAUGAUACAUGAACUUUAGUAUCUAUUUAAUGAGAAUAAUACAUUGUUAAUGAAUAAACUUAGAAUAUAUACUCUGUUAAAAAGUU